ACUCUCGGCAACGGAUAUCUAGGCUCUCGCAUCGAUGAAGAACGUAGCGAAAUGCGAUACUUGGUGUGAAUUGCAGAAUCCCGUGAACCAUCGAGUUUUUGAACGCAAGUUGCCCGAAGCCAUUAGGCCGAGGGCACGCCUGCCUGGGCGUCACGCAUCGCG
rnacentral:rRNA from 1 species